UACCAGCACCCCCGAGUGGUCGGGACGUUUAUUGGGCCUAAAGCAUCCGUAGCCGGUUCUACAAGUCUUCCCGUUAAAUCCAACUGCUUAACAGGUGGGCUGCGGAAGAUACUAUAGAGCUAGGAGGCGGGGAGAGGCAAGCGGUACUCGAUGGGUAGGGGGUAAAAUCCGUUGAUCCAUUGAAGACCACCAGUGGCGAAGGCGGCUUGCCAGAACGCGCUCGACGGUGAGGGAUGAAAGCUGGGGGAGCAAACCGG
rnacentral:rRNA from 1 species